AUUUGAGAUCCUCCUGCCUCAGCCCUCCGAGCCACUGGGAUUACAGAUAUGUGCCACUGCGCCUAGUCCCACAUACCUGUUCUGUUUCUCAAUCUCUCAUGUCAUACUACUCCAACAACUGACUUCACAAGCCAAGCAGGGAGGUAAGAAAGCUUGCCAAGUUUGUGAAAUCAACUUUGAUGUGCCAUAAAUUUAAACUAUAUGGUUUAAAUACACAGACAUGGCUGAAAGUCUGAUUGGAUUUAUUUUAGGGUUCAGCUGACAAACUUUGUGUUUUGUUUUUUUU
rnacentral:lncRNA from 1 species